GGGUUGUUAGCUCAGUUGGUAGAGCAGUUGACUCUUAAUCAAUUGGUCGGGGGUUCGAGUCCCCCACAACCCACCA
rnacentral:tRNA from 1 species